AUACGGAGGGUGCAAGCGUUAAUCGGAAUUACUGGGCGUAAAGCGCGCGUAGGCGGUUUGCUCAGUCGGAUGUGAAAGCCCAGGGCUCAACCUUGGAACUGCAUACGAUACUGGCAAACUAGAGUGUGUGAGAGGAUAGUGGAAUUUCCGGUGUAGCGGUGAAAUGCGUAGAUAUCGGAAGGAACAUCAGUGGCGAAGGCGACUGUCUGGCUCAACACUGACGCUGAGGUGCGAAAGCGUGGGUAGCAAACAGGAUUAGAUACCCUAGUAGUCC
rnacentral:rRNA from 1 species